rnacentral:rRNA from 1 species
AUGCAGUAUGAGUGUUCAGCACAUUUGUCUAUAAUAAGUGAUCUUGAGGCCAAUGUCAAGAAUCUGGAGAAUGAACUCCAGGAACAAUCUCAAAGAUUAGAGGCUGAUAUAGCAGAAGUACUGGCUGCCAAGGUUGAGCAAGAGCAGGGGUCCAUAAAGGCCGAGAAGUCUCCGAGGAAAGCACGGUGGAACAACGGUACCACUGCCGAGCGACUUCAGGAGGAAUUCAAGAGUCUAUCUUCACAAGUAUCUUCUGCUUUCAGUGCCAAGAAACGGCUGCUUGUGCAAGCAAGAAAAGAGGUCGCAGAACUACAGUUGCAGAAGAGCCAGUUGGAAGAGUUACUGCAGAAGGCCCACGAAGAUGUCGCAUCAGUCCAAGAACAACACCGGGUGAAGAUUCAGCAGUUACUUACCCCUUAG